AUUGAACGCUGGCUGCAUGCUUUACACAUGCAAGUCGAACGAGUGGCGGACGGGUGAGUAAUACAUUGGAACCUAGCUCAUAGUGGGGUAUAACCACUCGAAACUUUAGCUAAUACCGCGUCUCAUUCUAUGAGCCCAAAUUUGAUUAGCUAGUUGGUGGGGUAAAGGCUAACCAAGCCGACGAUCAGUAGCUGGUCUGAGAGGAUGAUCAGCCACGCUGGGACGGAGACAAGGCCCAGACUCCUACGGGAGGCAGCAGUGGGGAAUAUUGCGCAAUGGGGGCAAUUCUGACACAGCCAUGCAGCGGGGAUGAAGAAGGCCUUCGGGUUGUAAAGGUCUUUCGGUAGGGAGGCGUUAACUAAAGAAGAAGCACCGGCUAACUCCGUGCCAGCAGCCGCGGUAAUAC
rnacentral:rRNA from 1 species